rnacentral:rRNA from 1 species
GUAUGCCUACGGGACGCAGCAGUGAGGAAUUUUGGACAAUGGGCGCAAGCCUGAUCCAGCUAUUCCGCGUGUGGGAUGACGGCCCUCGGGUUGUAAACCACUUUAGUAGAGAACGAAAAGGAGCUAUCGAAUAAAUAGCUCUGCUGACGGUACUCUAAGAAUAAGCACCGGCUAACUACGUGCCAGCAGCCGCGGUAAUACGUAGGGUGCGAGCGUUAAUCGGAAUUACUGGGCGUAAAGGGUGUGCAGGCGGCGAGUUAAGUCAGCGGUAAAAUUUCGGGGCUCAACCCCGACGAGCCGUUGAA